rnacentral:rRNA from 1 species
UACGUAGGGUGCAAGCGUUGUCCGGAAUUAUUGGGCGUAAAGAGCUCGUAGGCGGUUUGUUGCGUCGGCUGUGAAAUCCCGAGGCUCAACCUCGGGUCUGCAGUCGAUACGAGCAAACUAGAGUGUUGCAGGGGAGACUGGAAUUCCUGGUGUAGCGGUGAAAUGCGCAGAUAUCAGGAGGAACACCGGUGGCGAAGGCGGAUCUCUGGGCAACAACUGACGCUGAGGAGCGAAAGCGUGGGGAGCGAACAGG